rnacentral:lncRNA from 1 species
CGCACCUGCCGCCGCACCCGCCGCCCGGACACGUGCUCCAUCCGCCGCCGCCGCACUACCAGAACGACGGGAAAAUGGGUCCCCCUCCGGGAGUGCCGGGGCCGCCGCACAUGCCGCCACCGCCUCCAGGCGGCUGGCGCGGGUUCGGCGCGCCGCCGUGGGCCGCGCCGCCGCCCGCCUUCCUGGCGCCGCCGCCGCCGCCGCCGCCCGUCUCCGGCGGCGGGUAGCCGCACUGCCACCUCUACUACUAUUACUUUUCUGUGUUUUCAUAUAAAUUCAAAAUAUUAUAUCCAACUCCACA